rnacentral:rRNA from 1 species
CCUACGGGAGGCAGCAGUGGGGAAUAUUGCACAAUGGGCGCAAGCCUGAUGCAGCGACGCCGCGUGAGGGAUGACGGCCUUCGGGUUGUAAACCUCUUUCAGUAGGGAAGAAGCGAAAGUGACGGUACCUGCAGAAGAAGCGCCGGCUAACUACGUGCCAGCAGCCGCGGUAAUACGUAGGGCGCAAGCGUUAUCCGGAAUUAUUGGGCGUAAAGAGCUCGUAGGCGGUUUGUCGCGUCUGCCGUGAAAGUCCGGGGCUCAACUCCGGAUCUGCGGUGGGUACGGGCAGACUAGAGUGAUGUAGGGGAGACUGGAAUUCCUGGUGUAGCGGUGAAAUGCGCAGAUAUCAGGAGGAACACCGAUGGCGAAGGCAGGUCUCUGGGCAUUAACUGACGCUGAGGAGCGAAAGCAUGGGGAGCGAACAGGAUUAGAUACCCUGGUAGUCCAUGCGUAACGUAGGCACUAGUGUGGGACGAUCUACGUUCCGUCGCCGUAGCUACGCAUAGUGCCCGCCGUCGGGAGGUACGGCCGCGACGGACGUAAACCGUACGAAAGAAGUAGACGGCGUGAGACGUGCCGACGGACGACGACGAGGGAGGAGG